GACAGAGGGUGCAAACGUUGUUCGGAUUUACUGGGCGUAAAGCGCGUGUAGGCGGCUUGGCAAGUUGGAUGUGAAAGCCCACGGCUCAACCGUGGAAGAGCAUCCAAAAACUGCUUCGCUCGAGUCUCGGAGAGGAAGGUGGAAUGCUUGGUGUAGAGGUGAAAUUCGUAGAUAUCAAGCAGAACACCUGCGGCGAAGGCGGCCUUCUGGACGAUGACUGACGCUGAGACGCGAAAGCGUGGGGAGCAAACGGG
rnacentral:rRNA from 1 species